UGGAAAUGUAGGAGCUGAGAGAAGCUUUUUGUGUUUGGGGACAAUGUAAAAAUAGGUGAGUGUACCUUUAAGUUCACAUUAGCUCCAGACAGGCCAAAAAUAAAUGCAAAUAAUGAAGUCAAAUAAACUGAGAUAUUUAGCAUAAUUUAUUCAGGGAAAGUAAAAAAUAAUCAGGUCUGAGGUUAACUUACACCAAUAAAUGUUUGAAA